rnacentral:rRNA from 1 species
GCCUGCGGCCACGCCACCCUGAGCACGCCCGAUCCCGUCUGCGCUCGGAAGCCGAGCAGGGUCGGGCCUGGUUAGCACUUGGAUGGGAGACCGCCUGGGAAGACCGGGUGCCGUAGGCG